rnacentral:rRNA from 1 species
GAUGAACGCUGGCGGCGUGCCUAAUACAUGCAAGUCGAGCGAACAGACGAGGAGCUUGCUCCUCUGACGUUAGCGGCGGACGGGUGAGUAACACGUGGAUAACCUACCUAUAAGACUGGGAUAACUUCGGGAAACCGGAGCUAAUACCGGAUAAUAUAUUGAACCGCAUGGUUCAAUAGUGAAAGACGGGUUUGCUGGCACUUAUAGAUGGAUCCGCGCCGAAUUAGCUAGGUGGUAAGGUAACGGCUUACCAAGGCGACGAUGCGUAGCCGACCUGAGAGGGUGAUCGGCCACACUGGCACUGAGACACGGUCCAGACUCCUACGGGAGGCAGCAGUAGGGAAUCUUCCGCAAGGGGCGAAAGCCUGACGGAGCAACGCCGCGUGAGUGAUGAAGGUCUUCGGAUCGUAAAACUCUGUUAUUAGUGAAGAACAAAUGUGUAAGUAACUAUGCACGUCUUGACGGUACCUAAUCAGAAAGCCACGGCUAACUACGUG